rnacentral:lncRNA from 1 species
UGCAGGCUGGAGCCCCUGGUCUGGAGCAAGCUGAAUACAGAUGAUUGAAGCAUGAGACGCAUGUUCGAGAAGCCAUGAUUAUUUCUAAAUACUACAAAUGUGGUGCUGAGUUCUCUGGCAUCUUUAUUAGAAGGCACGUGAUGUUGACCUGUCCCAUUACUGGUGAUGUUCUCUUUGAUCAAUUGGUCCUUGUUCAGCUGUUCAAGCUCCAGAACAAUUGUUGCAUAUCUCCGCUGAAAUUCAAUGCUGAUGGGCAUGGAAUAUGAUUUCUGAGAAGAGAAAAAAAUCAGAUCUUGUUAUCUCAGAAGAGGAUAUAUUAAUAGGAACUUCCAAAACUAAAAAACAAAGAGAACAAAGACUGAAAAAAUCAGCACAGAAUGUCCAAGGAUUGUGGGACAACUACAAAAGACGGAGUCUCGCUCUGUUGCCACUUGUGAUCUCG